UACGUAGGCAGCGAGCGUUGUUCGGAAUUACUGGGCGUAAAGAGUGUGUAGGCGGUGCUCUAAGUUCGGUGUGAAAUCUCCUGGCUUAACUGGGAGGGUGCGCCGGAAACUGGGGUGCUCGAGCGUGGGAGAGGAAAGCGGAAUUCCUGGUGUAGCGGUGAAAUGCGUAGAUAUCGGAAGGAACAUCAGUGGCGAAGGCGGCUACCUGGACUGAUACUGACGCUGAGGCGCGAGAGCGUGGGGAGCAAACAGC
rnacentral:rRNA from 1 species